AACGAACGCUGGCGGCAUGCCUAACACAUGCAAGUCGAACGAACCCUUCGGGGUUAGUGGCGCACGGGUGCGCAACGCGUGGGAAUCUGCCCUUUGCUUCGGAAUAACUCAGGGAAACUUGUGCUAAUACCGGAUGAUGUCUUCGGACCAAAGAUUUAUCGGCAAGGGAUGAGCCCGCGUAGGAUUAGGUAGUUGGUGGGGUAAAGGCCUACCAAGCCGACGAUCCUUAGCUGGUCUGAGAGGAUGAUCAGCCACACUGGGACUGAGACACGGCCCAGACUCCUACGGGAGGCAGCAGUGGGGAAUAUUGGACAAUGGGGGCAAGCCUGAUCCAGCAAUGCCGCGUGAGUGAUGAAGGCCGUCGGGUAGUAAAGCUCUUUUACCAGGGAUGAUAAUGACAGUACCUGGAGAAUAAGCUCCGGCUAACUCCGUG
rnacentral:rRNA from 1 species